UACGUGGGUGGCAAGCGUUGUCCGGAAUUAUUGGGCGUAAAGCGCGCGCAGGCGGUCCUUUAGGUCUGAUGUGAAAUCCCACGGCUCAACCGUGGAAGGUCAUUGGAAACUGGGGGACUUGAGUACAGAAGAGGAAAGCGGAAUUCCAAGUGUAGCGGUGAAAUGCGUAGAGAUUUGGAGGAACACCAGUGGCGAAGGCGGCUUUCUGGUCUGUAACUGACGCUGAGGCGCGAAAGCGUGGGGAGCAAACAGG
rnacentral:rRNA from 1 species